CAAACGAGGGCUUAACUGUCUCCCUUUUCAAGUCAGUGAAAUUGAUCUGCCCGUGCAGAAGCGGGCAUAACACUACAAGACGAGAAGACCCUUUGGAGCUUAAGGUACAAAAUUCAACCACGUCAAGCAACUCAUUAAAAAGCAAAAACCUUGUGAAACAUGAAAUUUUACCUUCGGUUGGGGCGACCGCGGAGGAAAACAAAGCCUCCAAGUGGACUGGGAUAAUUUUCCUAAAACCAAGAGAGACAUCUCUAAGCCACAGAACAUCUGACCAAAAAUGAUCCGGCCACCAAAGCCGAUCAACGAACCAAGUUACCCUAGGGAUAACAGCGCAAUCCUCUCCCAGAGUCCAUAUCGACGAGAGGGUUUACGACCUCGAUGUUGGAUCAGGACAUCCUAAUGGU
rnacentral:rRNA from 1 species